rnacentral:rRNA from 1 species
UACGUAGGUGACCAGCGUUGUCCGGAUUUACUGGGCGUAAAGAGCGCGCAGGCGGUCGUUCAAGUCGAGUGUGAAAGCCCCCGGCUCAACUGGGGAGGGUCACUCGAUACUGAUCGACUUGAAGGCAGGAGAGGGAAGCGGAAUUCCCGGUGUAGUGGUGAAAUGCGUAGAUAUCGGGAGGAACACCAGUGGCGAAGGCGGUUCUCUGGGCAUGACCUGACGCUGGGGAGCGAAAGUGUGGGGAGCGAACAGG